rnacentral:lncRNA from 1 species
ACUCUCAUUUUAGUUCCUUCUUUGUCUGUCCACCCUCUGUAGAAGCCAGAAGUAGAUUUGAAUUCUCUUGAAAAGGGUAUACUAUGUGUGCGCGUGGGCAUGCGGGCGUUGAAAUAAUGCAUACUGACAAGUUUAUAAUAGGUUAUAGACCGUUCAAAAAAAAAGUUUAUAAUAGAUUAACACUAACCAAUAGAGUUAGUCUCCUUCUUUAACACUAACUAAUAGAGUUACUCUUAGUCGUGCAUGAAAUACGGUAUACCAUAGGAACCAUUUUGUCUUUAGACGUUUGUCAUCCGUGAGACCUGAUAUAGUAAUAUGUUUUUGAACAGAAUAGAAGGAAAAAGUAAUUAAAGAGAAUUUUAUAAAUUUGAAAAUGGUUGAGGUUUGUAUCAGGUAACAACCUCAAACAACCAACAUAAAGUGUCUCAAAGUCUAGUUGAAUGUAUCUCAAAGUCUAGUUGAAGGACAAAUAUGUAGUGUCAAAGACCUGCUUUAAAAUCUAUUUUCAACUCUAAUUAUGAAAUUUAGAGCUCAUAGAAUAGCGUAGAUCCAGUAGAUUGAUAAAUAUUUCAAAUUUUGUAAAAUGGAGUGCCUAAAUAAUUUUUGUAGGAUACACAUUUUUAGGAUUUGAAAUCUUUUUUUUUUUAAAUCAAUAUAUCGUGAGAUUGAGAUGAUCAAUUGUAAAGCUUUUCAACAUCGAAACAACUUUUGUUUUUGGAUUUUUGAAUUGCGCCUUACUUCUACACUCUAAUGUUGUUACCGAGCCCUUCACCCCAUAUUGUUUAUGCUGAUUUUGUGGUUACGGUCGCAGGAUGGGGAAUUGGAAAAGACAGCGGAAGCAGUGAAGUGUGUGUCCUGAUACACAUUAUCAUCAACUAUCCAAUCAAGCUGCAUCUACAAUACAAUUUCAACAAUACCGAGUUGCAAUUCACAUUCUCGGAAACAUCUAAUUACGACCGUCAUGGACUAUUCUUUAUCACUGUAGUCCACACAUUCUACCAUUUUUGACAUUAACAGAUAGACGUAACUACUCAUUGUUAACAUCAGGUUCUUGGAACAGAGUUUAUAACCAGCAGGUUGUUGCCUCACAGCUGGAUCGAACAGUCCAAAUAUCUCGGAACAAAGUUUAUUAGAACAAAGUCCAUGACCGUACAUUGUUGCCUCACCAUUGGACCGAACAGUCCAGAUAUCUUAGAACAUAGUUUAUGAUCAACAAGUUGUUGCCUCAAUGCUGGACCACAUAUUCCAAAAUUAAAUAUGAGAUAUAUAGAGGGAUAGAGCAAUCACAAUGAUAAAGAAAUAUUCAUUUUUUUAACACACAUGUGAAUAACCCUUUCUCGCUAGACCUCUGGACCGUACUAACCCACUUUAAUAAAAAUGGCUUUGUACUAUCCUUCCCAUCUUGAGCACCUUCUCACUCUGUGUCUCCUUUAUGUUUUGCCUUCUCACUGUGUUUCUUUUAUAUUUUGCCUUCUCAUUUCAUUAUGAUUAUCACAUAUAAUUUGUCUUUAUUUUCUGUUUUUAACCAUGUUAUUUCCAAAUAUUUUAAAUUUUUUUUAUACACCUUCAUGAAUUAAAAGUACUGUUUGACAUUUUGACAUUGGAACACAAGCCAUAACUUGAAGGUAGAACUUUUACUUUGAUUACUAGAAAGUGUGCUUCUCCAUGGAUCCUUGUGGAAGCACGAGCUUCCUACGAAUUCUGGCCGCAUUUUGAAAAUACCCCAUGGAUUUUAGGGCCUAUUUUUUGAAUUACUUUUUAUUCCCAUUUACUCUCUAAAAUAUAAUUUUUAAAUUGCCAAUGAAAG